rnacentral:rRNA from 1 species
UACGUAGGGUGCAAGCGUUGUCCGGAAUUAUUGGGCGUAAAGAGCUUGUAGGCGGUUUGUCGCGUCUGCUGUGAAAUUUCGGGGCUCAACCCGAACCUUGCAGUGGGUACGGGCAGACUAGAGUGUGGUAGGGGAGACUGGAAUUCCUGGUGUAGCGGUGAAAUGCGCAGAUAUCAGGAGGAACACCGAUGGCGAAGGCAGGUCUCUGGGCCACUACUGACGCUGAGAAGCGAAAGCAUGGGGAGCGAACAGG